GGUUGUGGCUCAGUGGUAAAGCAUUUGCCUAGCAUGCAUGAAGCACUGGGUUCGAUCCCCAGCACCA
rnacentral:tRNA from 1 species